GAUGUUUUUAUUUUUACUUAUUCGUAGUAGUUAAUGAAUAAACAAUUAUCAUAGUUUACAUAUGUUAUCUAUCAUUGUGAUAUGGUUCAAAUUUUAUAUUUUCUGCUUUAAGCUAGUUUUAAUGUGUUAGCACAUUAAAGGUGCUAUUAUGCCAGUAGUAUUAUGAACCUAAAACAGAUUCACUGCCAACAGCAGUUAACUCAAUUAGUUGAAUCAUUAUAGGUGAAACAUUCAGUUCAAAACAAUUCAAUCAAUGAU
rnacentral:lncRNA from 1 species